CGUAGGGUGCGAGCGUUAAUCGGAAUUACUGGGCGUAAAGCGUGCGCAGGCGGUUUAGUAAGACAGGCGUGAAAUCCCCGGGCUCAACCUGGGAACUGCGCUUGUGACUGCUAAGCUAGAGUACGGCAGAGGGGGGUGAAUUCCACGUGUAGCAGUGAAAUGCGUAGAGAUGUGGAGGAACACCAAUGGCGAAGGCAGCCCCCUGGGUCGAUACUGACGCUCAUGCACGAAAGCGUGGGUAGCAAACAGGAUUAGAUACCCUGGUAGUCCACGCCCUAAACGAUGUCAACUAGGUGUUGGAUGGGUAAAACCAUUUAGUACCGGAGCUAACGCGUGAAGUUGACCGCCUGGGGAGUACGGCCGCAAGGUUA
rnacentral:rRNA from 1 species